AUUUGUUUGUAAGGUGUAGGGUAAACAAACUAUGUAACCUAUUAGGUCCCAUUAGCUUAACGUAACCGUGACAUGGUGAUUAACAUAACAUUAUUAGGUUAAAUAAAGUGAUCAAUGAAACAACUUGCCUUUUUUGUACACGUCCAGGUACUUGUCUAAUUUGGAUUUCAGAUGCCUCGUCGCCUCGUUUCUAUUCGUAGCAAUACAUACAAACAAACAAACAAACAAACGAUAUAUAAUAAUGAAAUUUCACCAAACAUAGAAACAAAUAAAAACAUAGAAAUAUUCUACGUGUCGCUACGAAAUCGUAGGUUCGAGAACCACUAAAUUCAGAGUUAAAAUGAAUUAGUUAUGAAUUUUCUAAGAUUCAAAUAUAUUUUUAUACUAAAAAUUUAUUUUCUUUAUUUAUGUCAUAAAUUUCCGAAUUCCAAAACUGCGGGUGAAAAUUUAUAAUAGCUCAGGGUCCUGCAAAGAUAAGGACUCCUUUGUAAUACUUUUACUGCAUGGGUGGACGGCGGGUUAAAUCUAAAGAAAGACGGGUACCUCUUAAGCAAAUAUGCACGGCGAAGGGGUUCCUCUUAUCUGCACCGUCCGAUCAUCCAACGAGGGCCAUGCUUAUAUCUUAUUUUGUGUGAACCGGUAUUAAAUGCCAACCAUUCGAUUGGAGAUCGUUGUCGUGGAUUGAAAACAACUCAUGUCGACCUGGAGUCGCCCGAUCUUGGAUCUGCGGCUCAGAUCAAAGGAUCCAACCGGUAGCCCAGGAACCAAUUAUAGCUACUCGCUACUGGAUCAGUGGCUCACGACGAUCUCCUCACCCUUCUCCCUCACUGACCAGACACCACGGUGGCGUGCUCUGAACCGCGACGGCGGCCAUGGCCGACUCUCAGGCGCUCUAAACUCCGAACCAGAUAGUCCAAAAUAGUGCAAAGAUCAUGGUGAACACGUGGGAAUGACUUACCAACUCCGGCGCAGAGCAGACACCCCUGGCACCGACACACGACGGUCCGAUGUAAACCACCGACGUCCGACGAGCAAUUCCCAUCCCCACGACAAACCUCGAGUUCGAUAGCUAUGGGUAAUCCGUAAUCGUAUCACGCGCACCCGUGAAUGGCUUGAUGCUUUCCCCGGGAGCAAAACGGUGAAGGAAUCUUUGACGGCUUGCUCGCCCCCUCCCUCUCUCAAUCUCUCGCUUGCUCUUGAUAACCUGGUGUCCUU
rnacentral:lncRNA from 1 species